rnacentral:rRNA from 1 species
UACGUAGGGGGGCAAGCGUUGUCCGGAAUCAUUGGGCGUAAAGAGCGUGUAGGCGGUCCGGUAAGUCGGCUGUGAAAGUCCAGGGCUCAACCCUGGGAUGCCGGUCGAUACUGCCGGACUAGAGUUCGGAAGAGGCGAGUGGAAUUCCCGGUGUAGCGGUGAAAUGCGCAGAUAUCAGGAGGAACACCAAUGGCGAAGGCAGCACUCUGGGACGUGACUGACGCUGAGACGCGAAAAGCGUGGGGAGCAAACAGG